GGACAAACUUGUAAAGAUAAAAAGAAGAACACGUGAGGCACGUGAUACUCUCAACAUAAUAUCAUCUCGACCAAUUCGAAAGCCCUAGAGCCAGAAGAGUUCUCUCCACUUUCCGAAGCUUUCUCCCCCACCAACCCAGAUCUCAAUUCUCGUUCAGGAUAAGAUGAGCAGCCGUUCGAGUAGAACCAUAUACGUCGGGAACCUUCCCGGCGAUAUCCGCGAGAGAGAAGUCGAAGAUUUGUUCAGUAAGUAUGGACCUGUUGUUCAAAUCGAUCUGAAGAUCCCACCAAGACCUCCUGGCUAUGCCUUCGUCGAGUUUGAGGAUCCUCGAGAUGCUGAAGAUGCAAUUCAUGGUCGUGAUGGAUAUGACUUUGAUGGCCAUUCCUUACGGGUGGAGCUAGCACAUGGUGGGAGGCGCUCGUCUAAUGAUGCUCGUAGUAGUUACGGUGGUGGUAGCCGUGGUGGCGGCGGUGGUCGUGAUGGUGGUGACCGUGGACGUGGCCCAUCUAGGAGAUCCGAGUACCGAGUUAUUGUGUCAGGUUUGCCUUCAUCUGCUUCUUGGCAAGACCUCAAGGAUCACAUGCGUAAAGGAGGAGAAGUCUGUUUCUCUCAAGUGUUCCGUGAUGGUAGAGGUACAACGGGAAUCGUAGACUAUACCAGCUACGAAGACAUGAAGUAUGCGAUAAAAAAGCUCGAUGACACAGAGUUUAGGAAUGCGUUUUCCCGUGGUUAUGUCCGGGUUAGAGAAUAUGACUCAAGGAGGGACUCGAGAAGCCCUAGCCGUGGAAGAUCUUAUUCUAAAAGCCGCAGUCGUAGCCGUAGUCGCAGCCGUGGGAGGAGCCACAGCCGCAGUCUUAGCCGCAGCAGGAGCAGGAGCAGGAGCCCAAAGGCUAAAUCUUCGCGUAGGUCGCCUGCAAAAUCAACAUCGAGAUCUCCUCGCUCCCGCUCUAAGUCAAGGACACCACCUCCAAGAGGAUAUGGAUAUACGUACAAUCAACUUAAAAUUGGGGAUUAAUAUCUGGAUCAUGGAUUACUUACUUGGUUGGUUGUACACAAGUGUUUCGUCUCAGAGAUGGAUAACAGUGGAGAGACAUUGGAUCGCAUUGUUAUAGUGUCAUCGAUAUGGAUCCAUCGAUGAGCUAGGAAAAGAUACUUUCAUUACCUGCAAAUUUCGUCAAGCGUUCUGGAUUCUUCAUGGAACAGAUGCUGUGCUUAGGAUACAGGGUUUGAUAGAUUUGGACACUUGAUCUCUGCCCUCUGUUUUAACUUAGAAAAGCCUGUGUGUCUUAGUUUACCUUCUCUGCUAGAAAUCGUCUAAACUUUGUGUUCUUUUUACUUUCUUGUGAUAUGGAAUGAGGCAUCAAGGCACUUGGUGAAACAGCUGUUAUACACGGAAAACAUAUUAGGAUUUUAAAACUGGAUUUUGUUUCUCGGAAUUUUGCAGAUCUCGUUCAAGGUCAAGAUCCCCUCUGCCUCCUGUUCAGAAGGAAGCAAGCAAGAGCCCUAGCAAGGUGAGUCCAGCCAAGAGCCCUAUGCGUAGCAGGAGCAAGAGCAGAAGCAGGAGUCCAUCUCGGUAAACAAAAAGAUAAGCGAGCUGGGUUUGGUUGGAAGAUUCUCCUAAGGAUCAUAUCUACAUUAUAUGUUGUCGUUUGGCUAAGACUUAAGUACCUAUAUUACUCUUGUUUUUUAUUUAAUUUUUAAAUGUAACAAUUUGUGUUUAAGAUUCUCUUAAAAGAUCUUUACUUUUAUAUUUGAUAUUUUGAUAUAUUUUGCAGCAA